GAUGAAGAACGUAGCGAAAUGCGAUAAGUAAUGUGAAUUGCAGAAUUCAGUGAAUCAUCGAAUCUUUGAACGCACCUUGCGCCCUUUGGCUAUUCCGAAGGGCAUGCCUGUUUGAGUAUCAUGAACACCUCAACCCUCAUGGUUUGCCAUGAUGGGCUUGGACUUUGGGGGUCUUGCUGGAUUGUAGUCAGCUCCCCUUAAAUGAAUCAGCUUGCCAGUGUUUGGUGGCAUCACAGGUGUGAUAAAUAUCUACGCUUGUGGUUUUACAUCAGAUAACCUUCAGUGAUGGUGGUUCACUGGAGCUCAUAAAGGUGUCUCUCCUCUGUGAGGACAGCUCUUUGAAUGUUUGAUCUCAAAUCAGGCAGGACUACCCGCUGAACUUAAGCAUAUCAAUAAGCGGAGGA
rnacentral:misc_RNA from 1 species